UCUUCCCCAACUCAGAGUACAAUGAUGACC
rnacentral:piRNA from 1 species